UGGGGUGCGUUGCUCAAAGCC
rnacentral:siRNA from 1 species